CCAAUAGCGUAUAUUAAAGUUGUUGCAGUUAAAAAGCUCGUAGUUGAAUUUUAGGCCUGGCCGGACGGUCCGUCUCUGGCGAGUACUGUUCUGUCGUCGGGUCUAUCCUUCUGGUGAGCCGGUAUGUUCUUAAUUGGGCGUGUCGGGGAACCAGGACCAUUACCUUGAAAAAAUUAGAGUGUUUAAAGCGGGCUUUUGCUUGAAUAGAUUAGCAUGGAAUAAUAGAAUAGGACGUUGUGGUUCUAUUUUGUUGGUUCUAGGACCACCGUAAUGAUUAAUAGGGAUAGUUGGGGGCAUUAGUAUUCAAUUGUCAGAGGUGAAAUUCUUGGAUUUAUUGAAGACUAACUACUGCGAAAGCAUUUGCCAAGGAUGUUUUCAUUAAUCAAGAACGAAAGUUAGGGGAUCGAAGACGAUCAGAUACCGUCGUAGUCUUAACCAUAAACUAUGCCGACUAGGAAUCGGGCGACGUUAUUUUCACGACUCGCUCGGCGCCUUAUG
rnacentral:rRNA from 1 species